rnacentral:rRNA from 1 species
CCUACGGGAGGCAGCAGUGAGGAAUAUUGGUCAAUGGCCGAGAGGCUGAACCAGCCAAGUCGCGUGAGGGAAGAAUGUCCUAUGGAUUGUAAACCUCUUUUGUCGGGGAGCAAAAGACGCCACGCGUGGCGUUCCGAGAGUCCCCGAAGAAAAAGCAUCGGCUAACUCCGUGCCAGCAGACGCGGUAAUACGGAGGAUGCGAGCGUUAUCCGGAUUUAUUGGGUUUAAAGGGUGCGCAGGCGGAAGAUCAAGUCAGCGGUAAAAUUGAGAGGCUCAACCUCUUCGAGCCGUUGAAACUGGUUUUCUUGAGUGAGUGAGAAGUAUGCGGAAUGCGUGGUGUAGCGGUGAAAUGCAGAGAUAUCACGCAGAACGCCGAUUGCGAAGGCAGCAUACCGGCGCUCAACUGACGCGCAUGCACGAAAGUGUGGGUAUCGAACAGGAUUAGAUACCCUAGUAGUC